UCGUCGAUAUGACGAACGACUCUGUAUCGGAGAGCGGUGCAUUGUGGUGAAGCAAGAACCACGGCAAUGAGCAUGGAUCGUCCGAUCAUUAUUCUUCCAACGAAAUGCAAAUAUUUAUGCACUAUGCGCCAUUUCCGCCGUCGUGGAAACGUAUUUGGAGUCAAAUAAAGGUCAUAGUCCGAGGCAUGUACGCCAUUCUCAUCGUUACCGCCGUCCCCGUUCAAAGUAAUCACCCUCUUUUCGGUGCUUACUUUUCAGCGCAAAAAGUAAGAUACUACGUCACUGCCUACGUCAAAAUGACGUACCUCAACAUGAUCCCGUGAGCUAGGGAAAAUCUAGGGACAGCGAGGGGACAACUUCAACGAGCAAUGUUCUUCAUAGAAGCACGGUAUUGGGUGUGGCGCCACUUUUUGACUGUAAAAAAGACAGCGGCGGCGGCAGCCCGCCGUCAAACAUGUCACGUCAAAACUGCCAGAGCUCCGUUCAUGAGAGAUAUUCCAUAGCAACUACAAUAUCAGGACGUCAUAAUUAUUCCUGCACGUUUAAACCGAUGUACUAUUGUUUCUCCUUUUUUCCGAUACAACCCAUUUAAAUCCGGUACACAGCGCCACUGUAGGUCUAAGCUGUGAUGCUCUACACGCUGUGUAUGCGCUGGGGAUAAAUGUCCCUAGAAAUGGGCGGAUCGUUCAGGCGGAGCUUGUCGCGGUGGCUCAACCCAACAGCUCGUGACGUGUAAAGUAAGCAGGUAGCUUACUUUGACGAGAAUAGCUCCCCUGGUAGCUGCACCUCUGCUUUCGAAAGAUGAAACAGUCUUUCCAUGUUGUGCUUACUGGCUUUGUAUAGAGUCUGGCAAAUCCGACAGACUUGGACUGCCUUUUGCAAGAAAGUUUGAAAUAUCAUCCCUUAUGCACCUGCAUUUCAAUUCCAAUCUGUAUUACAAGAAUGACAGACCACUCAACAGAGAUGAACAUCUGAAAGUGAAAGAGCUGGAACGAAGAUACGUUAAUCUGUGUGAAAGGUGCUUAGUGUGUGUGUGAGUCGAGGACAUAGGUCUCAAGCUGAUUCCUGUCUUCAGAAGAGGUGACAACUAUGCUCCUUCUAUCUAUUAACCAGCUCCACUUUUUAGGGUUCCCUGUAAACUAAUGGAGCACAUCAUGUACUACCACGUUGUCAACCAAGUUGAGUCUGUCGAUUUCUUUUUUUAAAUUCCAGCAUGGCUUUAGAAAAGGGUAUUCAGGCAAAACUAACGUAGUGUAAUUCGUUCACAGCAUUUUGAACUGUCUUGAUUUCUGGGUCCACGUAGAUGUAGUAUUUUUUUAUUUUGUAAGGGCUUUUGACACUGUGCUGUAUGCUCGCGUGGUGGCCAAAGUAGCCUAAUUAAAAUUUGAUCCUGCUACCAUUAAUGGGAUAUGCAGUUUCUUGACUAACCGCAACCGUGCUGCCAACAAUUUGUGAGGAGAACCUAUCAUAUCGCCACCAUGCAGCGUUUGUCACGUUACAUUUGCAUCACAUUUUAAUGUAGUCAAAAGCAAGGCCUUUUGGUGAUCGGUCUUGUAUGAUUACAUGCCCCUCCGUUAUGUAACCCCACACUGGGUUCUUCAACCUAUGAGAGAUAAAUAAAUAUAUUUCCAAGUA